rnacentral:lncRNA from 1 species
GACCCCCAAAUUUGAUUCUUAAAUAGCACAGGUGUUCUAUCCACGUAGUACCCCCUUUAGCGCUGCGCUGACCCCACUGCCUGCACGAGCCUUUUGCUCUGCAGAGCCUGCACCCUUCUCUGCCCAGACUUAUGACCCCGCACCUGCGGGAGUAAACAGCCCCACCUGCAGGUAGACCUGGGCCUCAGGUCACCUCUUUCUUUCCAGUCUCAGGCCCACCAACAAAUUAUUUACUUUUUUUAAUCCUAACUUUCUAUAUUUACAUAAUAUUGCAACUAUUGUUGUUAAUAAUGUAACAAUAUCCAACAGGUUCUCAUCCUUCAGAUGAGGCACCUGAGCUCCUGAGAAAGGGAAGCAAGCAUCUAAGCUGGCCCCUGGGAUUGAAUCCAGGUCCAAUGCCAAGCUGGGAGUUUCACAGGGGACUGUCACGGCCGCGUUCCUGGAUCAUCCAGUCUGGAAAUCCACCUCCAGUUUCUUACUGAAAACUCUGUGUGCACAAUGGAGUGGGCAGUUCCCAGGGCAUUCCUCAUAAUUUAUAAAAGGACAGUACAAAUUUGACUGAUUCCUCUUGAGAAACUGCAUGCACAAGGGGGCAAUGGCCAGACCACAUUGGAAAAUAGAACUCUGACUCAGACCUCAGCAGCAACAGCCCGGGACCAUCAGAACUGUGUCAAAACCUGGCAGCUUCCCUAAUAUUUGACUUGCCUCUUCUGACUCAGGACCAACCAAGGAAGCCAACCAAACACGUCCCCCAAACCACUCACGUAGGAUACCCGGGUUCUAGUUGACCCACCUCAGCUUCCCCAAGACAAAAUCCUCUGUUCAGGGCACAUCUGAAUGAAGCCUUCCCUUUUUACCAUAAAGCUUUCACUGUCUUCUCUCUGCCUUGGAGUCUCUGCCCAUCACAAGCAACAGUGGCUGACUCUUGCUUGUUUGUUCUCAUUUGGGGUGUUUUCUUUGACUUUCAUACUUUUGAAGAACUAUAAAGUUGGAAGAAUGACCUGUCUCUGCACUGCCAUCAAUGUCACAACCAGCCAGAUCUUGGGUGGCAGUUUCUUCCAGCCACCCAAAGCAGAACAAUUUUUGUGCUGAGAGAGCAGCUGCAGUUACCGCAUGAGAACUCAGGCUGGGCAAGCUGAGGCUUUCCUAGAACAUAAAUGCAUGGACACUUCUCACUCCAUCCUGGCGUGUCAGCAAUCCACGCUCUGGAAAUGCAUUUUCAAAUUCUUUAGAUACUUCCCACCAUUAAAUGAUUCCCGGCUGCCCUGGGUGGCCUUGCAAACAUUCUGCUGCACGUGGCUCUUUGUCUGCCCUGGUUCCUCUAGCUUUGCUGCCAGCCACACAGUUUAGCAGUGGGUCAGCGUGCGUUGGUUCACAGCUGAUUUGCACUCUUUGCUAAUUGAUUUCUGUCUGUGUCUUAUCACUAUAAGCAAAAAUCUCUCCAGAAGCUUAAAGAGAGUGAGGGGAAAUUGCUAUCUUCAACUAGGAAAAGAUAAGAAGCAAAUCAUUAUUGACCUUGUCACCUUGCCUUGGUCACCCUGGAAAGAAGAGGGACCAGAGUGGCCUAGGUUUUCCUUAUUCCUAUUCUUAUCCAGGAAGUCUUGGAUUUAGGGGUGACUAUAUAUCAUAUAUGUGUGAAUAUAUAUUAUAUAUGUGUAUAUAUAUUACACACAAAUAUAUCACACAUAUUACACAUAUACAUAUGUAUCACAAAUGCAUAAAUAUAUACGCUUACAUAUGUAUAUUUGUUAUGAAUUAUAAAUGCAUGUAUUUUUUAUGACAGUCAACUGAAGCCUUCUCUUUUUAAAAAUUUUUUUCACUUAUUUUAAAGUAGACUUGAUUCACAAUGUUGUGCCAAUUUCUGCUGUACAGCAAAGGGAUGCAGUCGUGCAUAUGUGUAUAUAUAUUCUUUUUAAAAUAUUAUUUUCUAUCAUGGUCUAUCCUGGGAGAUUGGAUAGAGUUCGCUGUGCUCAGAGUAGGGUCUUAUUAUCUAUCCACUCUAAAUGCAAUAGUUUGUGCCUAUUAGCCCCAAACUCCCAGUCCAUCCCACUCCCUACCCCCUCCCCCUUGGCAACCAUAAGUCUGUUUUCUGGAGUCUGUUUCUUUUUUACAGAUAGGUUUAUUUGUGCCAUAUUUUAGAUCCACAUAUAAAUGAUAUCGUAUGGUAUUUGUCCUAUUUCUGACUCACUGCACUUAGUUUGAUAAUCUCUAGUUGCAUCCAUGUUGCUGCAAAUGACAUUAUUUCAUUCAUUUUAUGGCAAAGUAAUAUUCCAUUGUGGGUAUAUAUAUAUACACUACAUCUUAAUCUGUUCAUCUCUCAGUGGGCAUUUAGGUUGUUUCCAUGUCUUGGCUGUUGUGAAUAGUGCUGCAAUGAACAUUGGGGUGCAUGCAUCUUUUUGAAUCAUGGUUUCCUCUGGAUAUAUGCCCAGGAGUGGGAUUUCUAGAUCAUAUAGUGGUUCUAUAUUUAGUUUUCUAAGGAACAUCCAUAAUGCUUUCCAUAGUAGUUAUUCCCACCAAUGGUGUUGGAAGGUUCCCUUUUUCCCACACCCUUUCCAGCAUUUGUUAUUUGCAAACUAUUUUUAAUGAUGGCCAUUCUGACUGGUGUGAGAUGGGACCACAUUAUAGUUUUAAUUUUCAUUUCUCUAAUAAAUAGUAGUGUUGAGCAUCUUCUCGUGUGCCUGUGGCCAUCUGUUUGUCUUCUUUGAAGAAAUGUCUACUUGGGUCUUCUGCCCAGUUUUUGAUUGGGUUGUUUGGUUUUCUGUUGUUGAGUUAUAUGACUUAUGUGUAUAUUUUGGAAAUUAAGCCCUUGCCAUUUGCAUCAUUUGCAACAGUUUUCUCCCAUCGUAUAUGUUGUCUUUUCAUUUUUUUUUUUAUGGUUUCCUUUGCUGUGCAAAAAGCUUGUAAGUUUGAUUAGGUGAAGCCCUCUUUUUAAUUGGAAUGAAUACUGCAGACAGAAAGCAUGGAUUACCAAUAACUUAAAGAAUCACCAUGUAUUCCUGCUUAUGAAUAGGGGUAACAGGCUUUAAUUGAUCUAACUUUCAGGGAUUUGUAAAAAUACAAGGAAGCACAGAAAAGAAUAUCAACCACAAAUACUGAACAAAUGUUGUCAUUCGGUCAAGGAGGCUGGAACCCUCUCCCAGUAUCCUCCCUGCCUUGUCCUCCCCAGAGAGGCUGCAGGUGUCAUGCUUAGUGUUUAGUGCUAGUGUCCCUGAGAAGGGGACAAAAGAGAGACGGCCUGGAGACCAUGGUGACACUGAUGGGCCCUAAGCAUUGUCCACAUCCUGCUGGGUCAGGAAAGCGGGACUCGUUGUUCUGGCAGAGCCGUGGGCCCCACGCUGGCAACCCAACCACUGGAAUCCCCUCCUCUGACUGUGGUUCUCCAAGGACCCUUUGGAGAGAUGCAGUGGGAGGUUGUCUCUUCUGGGGCAGUACUGCUUAGAAACCUGCUCACCCACCCCUGGUUUGGGGCCACAGGGUCACCAUAGGGUGUAAACCACACCAAUUUGUGUUUACAGCAGAGUCCAGGUGUCACUGAGAAUACAGUCCUGUGGCUUUCUGUUCAUUUUUAUUUGGUCAACAAUGAAUUAGGGGUCAAUGAUGGAAUCAAAGACAAGUCUAGGCUAUUCUCCCUCUUAGAAAUAGACCUGAAUAUUUCCCAGGUCUACAAAGUUCAGUUUAAUAUGUAUCUCGCUCUCUACCUCAAAACAGUGGUUGAAAAGCAAUAGAGAGUCUGCACUUUGCCUGGAGGUGGAAUCCUAGAUGCUGCCGUGGGCAGUUUUUUUUUGUUUUUUUUUUUUGUUUUGUUUUUUUUGUUUUUGUCUUUUUGUCUUUUGUUGUUGUUGUUGCUAUUUCUUGGGCCGCUCCCGCGGCAUAUGGAGGUUCCCAGGCUAGGGGUUGAAUCGGAGCUGUAGCCACCGGCCUACGCCAGAGCCACAGCAACGCGGGAUCCGAGCCGCGUCUGCAACCUACACCACAGCUCACGGCAACGCCGGUUGGUUAACCCACUGAGCAAGGGCAGGGACCGAACCUGCAACCUCAUGGUUCCUAGUCAGAUUCGUUAACCACCGUGGGCAGUUUUUAAACAAGGCUUGGGCCUGGGAGACCCAGGCCUGACCCUGAUUCCCUUCUCAUCGUCAACUGUAUUUCCUGCCCCAAAUCCUCUAUGGGCACCGAUUUUAGUUGACCCGUGGGAGUUGGGCUUCUCCAGCACUAAAUACUCUGGUCUAAACCGUCAUCUUCAAUCACUGGUCCCAGGGAGAACACGCCUGUCUUGGCAAAACUAUAUUUUCUUCCUGUAUUGAUUUUAGAGACCCCACCACGUUGACAUCUUUCUCUCGAUUCCUUUUAAAGUUCAGCCACCAUAGGCAACGGGCACGAGUCACACGACACAACAGAAAACAGUUUAAGAAAAUGCUACCCCAGAGCAGGUUUCUCUUGUCCUUGGAAACAGCCUGGCAUGAAGAGCAGUCUUUGCUUCCUCCACUUAAUUUGCCUCAGCCGAGCCUGCAGUCAGCAUCUCUCACCGGGCCCACCUCAGCUCCAGGGGCCAUUCGAGGGACCAGCUGGAGUUUUCUGGUGACCAGGCCAUGUGCAAGUUGCUGGGAGCGAAGAGAUGAAAGAUAAAGAUUGUCUAAGACAAUGCGAAUGACCCCACUGAGCCAGAGUCCAUCUCCAACAAAGGGAGCCUCCUUCGAGUAAAGAAGUCAGCGCUGCAACAUCCAAGUGUAGCAGCCAUUCCAGCUGUGAGUGACUGGCUGCCACGGCGUCGUCUCCAGUAGUAUCUUCUCCAUGCUCCCACCGAGCCUCUGCUGCCAGGGAACCCAACCUGUAAGAAAAUAAGCAUGUCUCCUCGGAAUAUUGAAAGGAACGCACAGCAGAGUUCUCGGUGGCUCAGUGGGUUAAGGAUCCAGCAGUGGUGUGGGUUCCACCCCUGGUCCAGGAACGUCUGCCUGCUAUGGGCAUGGCCAAAAAAUGACCAAAAAUGCCUGUGCUCUCCAUUGUCCCGCCACAGCUCCCUGCACGUGCUUGCUUUGAGUCACGUGGAUUCUUCUCUGGCGAAUGACAUGAGGGCUGCCAUUCUUUCUCUGAAGGAGAACCGCAGGCACAGGCAGGACGUGAGGGCCUCUGGCACCUGUGUUCAGCUCUGUCUGUCCUUUUGGAGUUGCUGCCAGAGAGCUUCCUUCUUGGGCUCUGUCUAGAUUUCAUUUAAAAAAAAAAAAAAUCUGUUAGACAUGACGCUGUUUUUACAUGCAUUCCCUUUGGGACCAUUGUAAUUCUCUGAUAUUUGAUUUAAAAUGCUGAUUUCUAUAAAAUUGCCAAGAGUUUCUG